AACAUCCUUCCCUUCGGGUUGCACUACUGUUCAAUGAGCUAUGUAUAGUGAGGGUAGUACUGCUAACGCCUACAAAACACACCUGCGUCAACUAGAGCUGUGCUUUACCUUGGUUGUGCUAUCUAUAUAAAU
rnacentral:ncRNA from 1 species